CUGAGCUUUCAAGAGCUUGACGUAGUUCCUUUGACUUAUUCCAAAUUUUUGUUAUUCCAGAUGAGCGCAACAGCCUCAUUGGUUUUCCUGAAGAUUCAGACUCGGAGAAUGAAAAUGCUGUCAUCGAAAAACUAGCAAACGCUGUUGGUCAUCUAUUUACAGGUGAAAGUCUGGAUAGUGAAAGUAGUGAUCAAGAAAACUCCAGUGAAGCUGAACAUUCAAUUGAAACCGAGGAAGAGACUGAAAAUGAAGUCAGUGUAGGAGCAAGUACAGUCGUUGGCACUCAAGAACGAACAGUUUUUCUGAACAAUCGAAGUGAUUCUUUAGAUUCUGGGCUAGAACCAGAGAUGCAAACAGAAAAGACAGCCACCUAUUUCAUAAUUGAGGCGAAAGACUCAUUAGAAAUAAGUCUAUCAUCAAACACAAUUCGUGUUUUGACUGAAUUGAUGGACGCCUACAUCACAAAGACUCCGCUGCCUCAAAUUCGCACAAAUCAACUGAGUUUGCACAAUGAUAUUGCUCCUGACUCUGUCAUCACUCUUUUCCAAAGAACGAAGGUAUUUUUUCCAGGACUCCGUCUUGAUUUUUGUUCUGUAUUUUUCCGUUCUCCCUUUUUGCUUCACAAAUCUGAAAAAUCUGUUGUAAAACAGCAAUGCUGGUAAUAUGUAAGGUUUUCAAAUUUUAGCUCUGUUUCGUUUUUGUUUUUGUUUUGUUUGUUGUCACCUGAAUU
rnacentral:lncRNA from 1 species